AGCAGCCGCGGUAAUUCCAGCUCCAAUAGCGUAUAUUAAAGUUGUUGCAGUUAAAAAGCUCGUAGUUGAAUUUCGGGAUUAGCAGGUCGGUCGUGCCACUGGUACGUACUGGUCUUGCUGAUUCCUCCCUCUUGACGAGCCGUAAUGCCAUUAAUUUGGUGUUGCGGGGAAUCAGGACUGUUACUUUGAAAAAAUUAGAGUGUUUAAAGCAGGCAUGCGCUUGAAUACAUUAGCAUGGAAUAAUGAAAUAGGACGUUCGAUCUUAUUUUGUUGGUUUCUAGGAUUGACGUAAUGAUUAAUAGGGAUAGUUGGGGGCAUUAGUAUUCAAUUGUCAGAGGUGAAAUUCUUGGAUUUAUUGAAGACUAACUACUGCGAAAGCAUUUGCCAAGGAUGUUUUCAUUAAUCAAGAACGAAAGUUAGGGGAUCGAAGACGAUCAGAUACCGUCGUAGUCUUAACCAUAAACUAUGCCGACUAGGGAUCGGAUGAUGUUAAUUUUUUAAUGACUCAUUCGGCGCCUUACG
rnacentral:rRNA from 2 species